AUUGAACGCUGGCGGCAUGCCUAACACAUGCAAGUCGAACGGCAGCACAGUGCGUAGCAAUACGUAUGGGUGGCGAGUGGCGGACGGGUGAGGAAUGCAUCGGAAUCUACCCAGUAGCGGGGGAUAACCUGGGGAAACUCAGGCUAAUACCGCAUACGACCUAUGGGUGAAAGCGGGGGACCGUAAGGCCUCGCACUAUUGGAUGAGCCGAUGCCGGAUAGCUAGUUGGUAGGGUAACGGCCUACCAAGGCGACGAUCCGUAGCUGGUCUGAGAGGACGAUCAGCCACACCGGAACUGAGACACGGUCCGGACUCCUACGGGAGGCAGCAGU
rnacentral:rRNA from 1 species